CAGUUCCUGUGUUGUUCCUGUUGACCUCUGACUUCUCUCUCCAGAUUUGGCCCCUGAGAUCCUCCCUGGACUCUACUGGCCCAAGCCCAGCGAAGCAUCAUUAGGGCCCUCACCCUGUUCUCUAAGACCUCCCUCCCCCACCUUCUUUCUUUCUGCCUGUCUAAGUCUGCAGGGAGACGACCAGCAGUAAGGGCCAGAGGGUUUGGGAAUGAGCCCUCCUUCAUAUUGGAUAUUGCAUUGACCUCUGGGAUCUUUUUCUGACUGCAAAAACAGCCUGAUGAAUUACUAUUCUUGAGUCUUCAUCUUUUCUCCGAAAUCUCAGCUGAGCUGCACAUUUGGAUGGGGCAUUAUGGAAGACAGGAUGACAGUAUAGAGAUAUUCUGGCCACAUGAAGGGGAAAUAAAUGAAAGUUUGGAGAUGUAUAAGGUGAUUUUGAAGGUCCAUACAACGGUAAUUUACCUGGGUCAGAAGCAUGUUGUCAUGUCACUAUACCAUGAAUGCAAUAAAUCAACAAAGACAUUCUUGAAGUUCAGCUUCAAAAUAAAUGGAUGUCGAGGAUUGCAUUGUGAGAGAUAACUGGAGCAACUGGACAUAACAGAAUCUUUAUCUUUCAACAGUCAAGAUGCUUAACAUUCUAAAAAGCCUCGGCUCUGUGUCUUACUUCAUGUAUCAUCCAGUCUAGUCCCUUUCAGCCCAACAAUGUAGGCCCUUGUUUUUAUGUGUUUGUGUGUGUAUUUGUUGGUAAUAUGUUCACGAAUAUGAGUGGUUGAUACACAAUCUGCAAAAUAAAUCAACAUAGCUUCUUGAGGGAAUUUCUUGCUGUUCAGACUUAAACUAAAGGGAUAUUUGCAAAGCAUUAUACUCUGAAAGUAAUUCUGGAAAUGGACAUAACAUAAUCUUGGAUGGACCUGUACAGUCAGACACUUCACAUUCUAAUGGACCUCUGCUCUGUAUAUAUGAGAUCUGGAUCUGUACUGUCUAACCAACAAUGUUGAGGUGGCAAUGAUGUUUUCUGUGGGGGAGGGGGAUGUCUAUUUGUGUGGAUAAUUAAUGUAUGAAUCACAACCACCAUACUAAAUAAAAAAUGUAGUUCCUUGAGGGAAGUUCUCCAUGUCCAGAACCAGAAAAUGGAAUACUUGGGAUUAAAUCCUGAGUGAACUCAGGCAAUUAGACAUGGCUGGCCUGAGUACUUUCCUUAAAAUUGAGGUUCUGGAAGGACACUGGCCAAUCUUAGAGGAAGAGGCUGCAGGAGCAGCAGAUAUUGCUAGUGUGAGAGAAAUCAAGGGACUGAAGUGAAUUUCCAGGGUGUCAGGAGUAGUCUAGAGUAAAGAGAUAUUGACUAUUUUGAUUGAUAGAGUUUUUAUUAAUAGCAUUCAUUUAAAAAAAAUUGAGUUCCAAAUUCUCUCUCUCUUUCUUGCCUCUCCUCCAUCCAUGGAGAAGGCAAGCAAUAUGAUAGGUACCCACACAAAACAUCGCCAUAUUAGCCAUUGAACUAUAGAGUUUAAAUACAACCUAGCUUGGGCUUAUUCUAGGAUGUUUGUUGCUAAACUUGUUCUCAAAACAUUUCCAACGAUCAGAGCUCAUUAGGCCCAAGUGACCUAGAUAAUCCAUGUCAGCACUCAGUGUGCUGAUGAUGGACUGGCCAGCAUGACUUUAAUGUUGGACAGGCAGACACAUGAAGGAUCCAAGGCCUCUCCACCAACACAAGUUGCAGCUAAUCAGUGAUGUAGUAGGCGAAUACAAGGAGUUUCUGAUGCCAAAAUAUGUUAUUCACCGACCUGAUCAGAGUCAUCACGUAGCCUAAUAUUAAACAUAAGAGACCAGGUAUUCAUGACUACAAAUCUAGACAAUUUCACUAACAUAUGCUCCCUCCCUCAUUAUGCUGCUAAGUGGGGGCAACAAUGAUCAUGCCACUAUGAUACAUAGGAAAGGGGAGUUGGUAUAGAAGCAGCUAGGUGGUACUGCAGUGGAUCGAGCACUGGCUCCCCCCCAGAGCCCGGGACACUUGAGUUUAAAGUAAAGCUUCAGAUAACUUACCACCUGUGUGACCCUGGGCAAGUCACUUAACCUCUGUUUACCUCAGUUUCCUCAUAUGUAAAAUGGAGAUGAUAAUAGCACCUACCUCUCAAGGUUAUGACAAUCCAAUGAGAUAAAAAUGCAUGGCCCAGCAAGGACGUGAGAAGCACUAUAUAUACAUUUCUUCUUCUACUUAUCAUCAUCAUCAUCACCAUCACCAUCACUAUCAUCAUCACACCACAGUGAUCUUUGAAGAGCCUUUCUGAUCUUCAUUCUUACAAAUCGUCCAUUGAAGACAUGGAGUAAAUUUUGCUAUUCAGAACAAAAUGAUUAAAUUUUAUCAAAAAAUAAAACACCUCAAAUCUCCUAUUUGUUUCCAUAAUGAAUAUUUAGAACUAUAGAUGCCUUCAUUUAAGGGCAUAUUAGCAUACCACCCCCAAUUUGUACCUCUGUCUUAGUCAUUCAACCUUGUUUUUUUUUUUUAUUUUCCCUAUAAUCUAAGCGACCAAACUUUGAAGAAAAAGGUACGUGGUUUGCUGCUGUUUUAUAUUCUUCAUGGUAUUUGUUAAUGUUUUUAUGUGUUACAUGUCUUUGGUUCUCAAAGCUCUUUCUGCCUGGUCAAUUGGUAUCCUUGGAUGCUGAAAUAAAAAAAUGAAAUCUCCCGUUUCCA